rnacentral:rRNA from 1 species
GAUGAACGCUAGCUACAGGCUUAACACAUGCAAGUCGAGGGGCAGCAUUUCAGUUUGCUUGCAAACUGGAGAUGGCGACCGGCGCACGGGUGAGUAACACGUAUCCAACCUGCCGAUAACUCGGGGAUAGCCUUUCGAAAGAAAGAUUAAUACCCGAUGGCAUAAUUAGACCGCAUGGUCUUAUUAUUAAAGAAUUUCGGUUAUCGAUGGGGAUGCGUUCCAUUAGGCAGUUGGUGAGGUAACGGCUCACCAAACCUUCGAUGGAUAGGGGUUCUGAGAGGAAGGUCCCCCACAUUGGAACUGAGACACGGUCCAAACUCCUACGGGAGGCAGCAGUGAGGAAUAUUGGUCAAUGGGCGCAGGCCUGAACCAGCCAAGUAGCGUGAAGGAUGACUGCCCUAUGGGUUGUAAACUUCUUUUAUAUGGGAAUAAAGUUUUCCACGCGUGGAAUUUUGUAUGUACCAUAUGAAUAAGGAUCGGCUAACUCCGUGCCAGCAGCCGCGGUAAUACGGAGGAUCCGAGCGUUAUCCGGAUUUAUUGGGUUUAAAGGGAGCGUAGGUGGACAGUUAAGUCAGUUGUGAAAGUUUGCGGCUCAACCGUAAAAUUGCAGUUGAUACUGGCUGUCUUGAGUACAGUAGAGGUGGGCGGAAUUCGUGGUGUAGCGGUGAAAUGCUUAGAUAUCACGAAGAACUCCGAUUGCGAAGGCAGCUCACUGGACUGCAACUGACACUGAUGCUCGAAAGUGUGGGUAUCAAACAGGAUUAGAUACCCUGGUAGUCCACACAGUAAACGAUGAAUACUCGCUGUUUGCGAUAUACAGUAAGCGGCCAAGCGAAAGCAUUAAGUAUUCCACCUGGGGAGUACGCCGGCAACGGUGAAACUCAAAGGAAUUGACGGGGGCCCGCACAAGCGGAGGAACAUGUGGUUUAAUUCGAUGAUACGCGAGGAACCUUACCCGGGCUUAAAUUGCAUUUGAAUAUAUUGGAAACAGUAUAGCCGUAAGGCAAAUGUGAAGGUGCUGCAUGGUUGUCGUCAGCUCGUGCCGUGAGGUGUCGGCUUAAGUGCCAUAACGAGCGCAACCCUUAUCUUUAGUUACUAACAGGUCAUGCUGAGGACUCUAGAGAGACUGCCGUCGUAAGAUGUGAGGAAGGUGGGGAUGACGUCAAAUCAGCACGGCCCUUACGUCCGGGGCUACACACGUGUUACAAUGGGGGGUACAGAAGGCAGCUACCUGGUGACAGGAUGCUAAUCCCAAAAGCCUCUCUCAGUUCGGAUCGAAGUCUGCAACCCGACUUCGUGAAGCUGGAUUCGCUAGUAAUCGCGCAUCAGCCAUGGCGCGGUGAAUACGUUCCCGGGCCU